UACGUAGGUGGCAAGCGUUGUCCGGAUUUACUGGGCGUAAAGAGCGCGCAGGCGGUCGUUCAAGUCGCGUGUGAAAGCCCCCGGCUCAACUGGGGAGGGUCACGCGAUACUGAUCGACUCGAAGGCAGGAGAGGGAAGUGGAAUUCCCGGUGUAGUGGUGAAAUGCGCAGAUAUCGGGAAGAACACCCGUGGCGAAGGCGGCUCUCUGGGACGGUACUGACGCUGAGACGCGAAAGCGUGGGGAGCGAACAGG
rnacentral:rRNA from 1 species